rnacentral:rRNA from 1 species
GAUGAACGCUAGCGGGAGGCUUAACACAUGCAAGUCGAGGGGCAGCAUAGGGUAGCAAUACUCUGAUGGCGACCGGCAAACGGGUGAGUAACGCGUAUGUAACCUACCCUGUACAGGGGGAUAACCCGGAGAAAUUCGGACUAAUAUCCCAUAACAAUAUCCGGGGGCAUCUUUGGAUAUUUAAAGUUCCGGCGGUACGGGAUGGGCAUGCGUAACAUUAGCUAGUUGGUAAGGUAACGGCUUACCAAGGCUUUGAUGUUUAGGGGUCCUGAGAGGGUGGUCCCCCACACUGGUACUGAGACACGGACCAGACUCCUACGGGAGGCAGCAGUGAGGAAUAUUGGUCAAUGGGCGCAAGCCUGAACCAGCCAUCCCGCGUGCAGGAAGACGGCGCUAUGCGUUGUAAACUGCUUUUCCAGGGAGAGAAACUUGCGCACGUGUUGCGCAAUUGACGGUACCCUGGGAAUAAGCAUCGGCUAACUCCGUGCCAGCAGCCGGGUAAACUGUAGUCGU